rnacentral:rRNA from 1 species
GAUGAACGCUGGCGGCGUGCCUAAUACAUGCAAGUCGAGCGAACAGACGAGGAGCUUGCUCCUCUGACGUUAGCGGCGGACGGGUGAGUAACACGUGGAUAACCUACCUAUAAGACUGGGAUAACUUCGGGAAACCGGAGCUAAUACCGGAUAAUAUAUUGAACCGCAUGGUUCAAUAGUGAAAGACGGUUUUGCUGUCACUUAUAGAUGGAUCCGCGCCGCAUUAGCUAGUUGGUAAGGUAACGGCUUACCAAGGCAACGAUGCGUAGCCGACCUGAGAGGGUGAUCGGCAACACUGGAACUGAGACACGUUCCAGACUCCUACGGGAGGCAGCAGUAGGGAAUCCUCCGCAAUGGGCGAAAGACUGACGGCGCAACGCCGCGUGAGUGAUGAAGGUCUUCGGAUCGUAAAACUCUGUAAUUAGGGAAGAAAAAAUGUGUAAGUAACUAUGCACGUCUUGACGGUACCUAAUCACAAAGCCACGGCUAAGUACGUG